UUUGUUACUCCAAACCAAUCGGACUUCGGCCUGACAUCAAGUGAUAUUGAACAAUUUAGCUGAUCGCACGGUCUAAGAACCGGCGACAUAUCCUUCAAAUGUCUGCCUUAUCAACUUUCGAUGGUAGAUUAUGCGCCUACCAUGGUUGUAACGGGUAACGGAGAAUCAGGGUUUGAUUCCGGAGAGGGAGCCUGAGAAACGGCUACCACAUCCAAGGAAGGCAGCAGGCACGCAAAUUACCCACUCCCGGCACGGGGAGGUAGUGACGAAAAACAACAAGCUGGUCUCAAUGAGUUCCAGCAUUGUAAUGGGAACAAUUUAAAUCUUUUAUCGAGGAUCUAUUGGAGGGCAAGUCUGGUGCCAGCAGCCGCGGUAAUUCCAGCUCCAAUAGCGUAUAUUAAAGUUGUUGCGGUUAAAAAGCUCGUAGUUGGAUCUAGGAUUAGGGCUACGGUCGUUCAGCUUGGACGUACUGUAUGCCCGACUCCUUUUCUCUAGUAUUCGAUUGUUGCUCUUAAAUGAGUGACUUUAGUUGCUGGAACUUUUACCUUGAAAAAAUUGAAGUGCUCAAAGCAGGUU
rnacentral:rRNA from 1 species